GGAGUCGGCCGGACAGUCGCUGCCUCGGCAACGAGGUGGAGGAAAGUCCGGGCUCCACAGGGGCAGGGUGCCAGGUAACGCCUGGGGGACGCAAGUCUACGGAAAGUGCCGCAGAAAAGAUACCGCCUAAGCGCCUUUAGGCGCCGGUAAGGGUGAAAUGGUGCGGUAAGAGCGCACCGCGCUGACGGUAACGCCAGUGGCAGGGUAAACCCCACCCGGAGCAAGACCAAAUAGGGGAGCAUUGGUGUGGCCCGCAUCGCUCCCGGGUAGGUUGCUUGAGGUGCACGGUGACGUGCAUCCCAGAUGAAUGGGCUGUCCUCGACAGAACCCGGCUUACAGGCCGGCUCCCCCU
rnacentral:RNase_P_RNA from 22 species